UACGUAGGGUGCGAGCGUUGUCCGGAAUUAUUGGGCGUAAAGAGCUCGUAGGCGGUGUGUCACGUCGGCCGUGAAAACCUGCAGCUUAACUGUGGGCGUGCGGUCGAUAUGGGCAUCACUGGAGUUCGGCAGGGGAGACUGGAAUUCCUGGUGUAGCGGUGAAAUGCGCAGAUAUCAGGAGGAACACCUGUGGUGUAGACAGCUUACUGGACCACUUCUAACGCUGAGACACGAAAGCGUGGGUAGCAAACAGG
rnacentral:rRNA from 1 species